rnacentral:misc_RNA from 1 species
GGGAGAAGUGACAUAUUGAUAAUAGUGACCUUGUUAUUAAUGUUGGUGUAGCUCUGUGAUAGAAAUUACAACUCUUAAAAUUGAGAAACAGUGAUAAAAUUAAGCAUAUCAUCCAUAUUAAAGCUGGCUUCACGGUUUAUUGUGGUACAGAGAAUCUUGAUCACUAAAAGACAAUUCAGUUAACAGACAGGUUAUGUAAAGUUCGAAAAUAUCAUAUGCCAUAUAGUAUUCUUUGACCAGAGAUUCUCCAGUUGCUGAAACAGCAUCAUCCAAAUCAAGACCUCCCCGCAACCUUCAGCUCGCUUGAUCAAUCCAAUUUGAGAAGAAACACUUUCCCAGAAAACAAUAACGUUCGUCAGUAUUUCAGAAGCAGCAAUUGUGCGAUCAAAUGAAAAUAUGAAGUUAAAAUCAACUUCAUCUGUCAGAUGAAAAUUUAUUCUGUAACUUUUCAUAAGCUGUCAGAUUACAGACAAAUCAAAUCAAAACUAUCGGGUCUUUCUUUUUUUUUCCCUCCCAAUCAACUCAACUUCCAAUUCACUAAUAUUAAUUCCUUUUUUGCAUUCACAACUAACAGAGGAGCUAAGGAGUAAUUUUCCAAGGAAACCAAAGACUAAAGCAACAGAAGAGUCUUGGUCACAGUCUUUCAUGCCUCAGGCUUUGAGGCCACUUGAAACUAUAAGUUCCUGAAACAUAUAGUCCAAGCCUUUCUGAAGCCAAAUGAUGCAGAGUUCUGGAAAAAUGACUGGCUUCUAAACUGCAUAUCAACUAUCAUCUACUGAUAUGCUUGAAAAGGAAACAACCCCAGAAUAAGAAGCGUCAGCAAUUUUGGUCAAUUGCAACUACAAGAAUGAGCAUGAGCACCCUGUCUUUUUAGUAGAAUCUUUCUGCAGCUUGUCUGAAAAAAUAAAAAAAAUAAAAAGAAUUAACUCUUUCUUUGCGACAUGCACUUUUCAUGUGUUUCAUUUUGUUUCUUGGUACAUGUAGAAUGCAUAUCCAUGAAAUCUAGUUUAAUUGUUCAGUGUUCAAAUACAUGCUUCAUGGUACUAGCAGACUAUAAUUUGAACCCUUGCUUCCCCAUCACCAUUCCUUAAAGAAUGUACCCAAAAAGAAAAAAGUAACAUUUUAGUCCCUCAUCUUUUCACUUGUUUGAGUUUAUGGGGUUGUUCCAUUUGAAACUCAAAUGACUAAAAUGUUGUUAUUUGAUAUUUUAAAGGAAGUAUAUUUUGACAACGUCUGCAUGUUAAAUGUUACAAACAAACAUACAUAUAUAUAUAUCUUAGUAAUUACAAAAUGAUGUGUGCAUUACCACUGUUUUUGUCUGGCAUGGGAGGACGCAGAACAACAUGCAUGGUGAUGACACCUCCUGGAAGUUCACUGACUGGAAGUCUGGAUUCAGCAAGUGUCCUGUUGUUUUCCAGUAUCUUUCCAGCAUUUAUGAGUUUCACAUCAUUUAAAGUAUUUGGACCAUUUUCUUUAUCUGCCAAUUAAAAAUGGUGACUCAUUAGCAAAAGUAAAAUUGUUAGAUACCAAACGAGAGCUUUGUAAUCACUAAACUAUACAGAAUUUCAGGAAUUGGGGCUUCCUUCUGUUCUUUUUCUUUUUGUCAUGUGUGUGGGCUAGAUGCAAGCUAUUGCUGCCAAUUCUCCAUCUAACAGUAAGUUUCAGACUUAAAAGUACAAAAUGCAGAACAAGAGCUCUGCAAAGCAAAGCGACGCUGAUACGUCUAUAAUAGAGAAGGCCAAAUUACUAAUUCAAAUUUCAAAACACAGCAUUGCACCAUUCUCAUUCUGAAUUUGUUAUGUAUACUGAACCAUAGAGCGGGGCAUCUUCUUUUCAGCUACAAAAAGCUUGGACAAGGCAAAAUGAACAACAGUAACAGCAAUAGUGUUCAUUUAGACAUCAACGUUUGUUUUAGCAACAAAGCAGAACUAUUUAAAGACAAUAAUCACUACUUCACCAAGUUCAAUCUAUUUUAGCAUGUAAUUUUAUCUAAAUCUACUUGCAGGAUUUUCAUCUCAUAAAGAGCUUCUAGAAUUGGGUAUAAUAGAUUGCUUGAAGGUCAGAAAAACAAGUACACCACCAACAAACUUAUGGAAUAAUUUGGAAUCCAAAUAAUAAGGAUAAUUGCAUUUUGAUAGGAUAAAGGUAGACAAGGCAGAUAAAAAAUCAUUAUCAGCAAGGAAGAACAAGCGAACACUUAAAAUCAAAGUUUCCUACCUAACACCCCAACUGAUACGCAGUAACAAAGAUUAAAGCACAAGAACAAAACUUUCAGACAAUUACCCAGAUUUUAAAACAAUGAAUCAAAAACCAAGAAGCAAAUAUAUGAAACGGUAACCUGAAAGAGUCAACACAGUCACACAUAAUAAUUCAAGAUGCAUGAAAGUCAAUACAGGAGAUAAAAAGAUUUUUAACCUUUUGGCCACUGUGCAAUUAUCUUUUCUUUGAGAGUUGCCACUGUUGUCGCGGGACUAUAUUUGCUUGGCCCAAUAUCAGUACCAUCUGCCAGCCUGAAUUUGAGUUCAAUAAAAUCUUCUCUUGCCAUUGAUAAAUGAAUUUACCAAAACCCCACCUCAAAUUUUCAUACUAACUCCAAACUCUUGAAAAGAUCCAAGUAAUCCUCUCUGUGAAGCCUCUCUUAACGAAAAUUUUCAGCAGAGAAUACCGAAAAUAAAUUAUCUUCCAAUCAAUCGAUCGAGAACAGAGAACCGAGAACCCAGACCAAAUAUAUUGUGAAUAGUGAUCUUGACCUAAAAAAUCCACAAAAGAAACAGAUUCUCAACAGAUUUUGAUUAAAAACGUGUGCUUUUUUCACUUGAGAAAUAGUUUUCUAAAUCCCCAGAUCCUAUAUCCCCAUGCUAUAACCAAGAGAGUGUAUUGUGCCACUGAUGAGAAAUGAAUGACGGGAACCCACGGCUUUAUGUAGAGAGAGAUAGAGGGUGGGGGGAAGAGAGGAAGGGAGUAGCCAAUGGAAGUUUUCAAAGUGACGGUUUAC